AUUGAACGCUGGCGGCAGGCUUAACGCAUGCAAGUCGAGCGGAGAUGAGGUGCUUGCACCUUAUCUUAGCGGCGGACGGUUGAGUAAUGCUUAGGAAUCUGCCUAUUAGUGGGGGACAACAUUCCGAAAGGAAUGCUAAUACCGCAUACGUCCUACGGGAGAAAGCAGGGGACCUUCGGGCCUUGCGCUAAUAGAUGAGCCUAAGUCGGAUUAGCUAGUUGGUGGGGUAAAGGCCUACCAAGGCGACGAGCUGUAGCGGGUCUGAGAGGAUGAUCCGCCACACUGGGACUGAGACACGGCCCAGACUCCUACGGGAGGCAGCAGUGGGGAAUAUUGGACAAUGGGCGGAAGCCUGAUCCAGCCAUGCCGCGUGUGUGAAGAAGGCCUUUUGGUUGUAAAGCACUUUAAGCGAGGAGGAGGCUACUUAGAUUAAUACUCUAGGAUAGUGGACGUUACUCGCAGAAUAAGCACCGGCUAACUCUGUGCCAGCAGCCGCCGUAACAC
rnacentral:rRNA from 1 species